UACGGAGGGUGCAAGCGUUGCUCGGAAUUAUUGGGCGUAAAGGGUAGGUAGGUGGUCUCAUUUGUCUGAGGUGAAAGCCCAGGGCUUAACCCUGGAAGUGCCUCAGAAACGGGGAGACUCGAGUACUGGAGAGGGUCGUGGAAUUCCCGGUGUAGCGGUGAAAUGCGUAGAGAUCGGGAGGAACACCAGAGGCGAAGGCGGCGACCUGGACAGUUACUGACACUCAACUACGAAAGCGUGGGGAGCAAACAGG
rnacentral:rRNA from 1 species